rnacentral:rRNA from 1 species
UACAUGUGGGGCAAGCGUUGUUCGGAAUUACUGGGCAUAAAGGGUGCGUAGGCGGUUUGUUAAGUCACUGGUGAAAGUUUUCGGCCCAAUCGGAAAAUUGCCUGUGAUACUGGCGAACUUGAGUGCGUGAGGGGUGGGGGGAACGAGCAGUGUAGCGGUGAAAUGCGUAGAUAUUGCUCGGAAGGCCGGAGCCGAAGGGGCCCCACUGGUACGUAACUGACGCUGAGGCACGAAAGCGUGGGGAGCAAACAGG